rnacentral:lncRNA from 1 species
AACCCCUGGCCCUGUGCGUCUCUGCUCCUGUCUCCACGCCAUAGACUUCCUGCAGGUCUAUCCCCAGAAGCCACAGUGUUGAGAUUCCUCGUCUACACUCCCUCUGAUUUCUCUUUAAGAAAGAGAGCAGGUAUCUGUAACACUUGCUGGGGCAGGAAGACCAUGGAGCCUUGAGGAGAAGAAAACCAAGGCAACCAAAGCAAAAAAAGUUGGCUCUGUUUUCAGAGAAGCCUGAGAAUAAAAGUGUGACUGUAAAGCAAACAAACAAACCAAAGCUGGAAGCCGCAGUCCCACACUCGGCUGGAAUGGAGGAUUCCUCCUGCACGCUAACUUCUCAGCAACUGACUUUGGAUGGAAGUCCUGGCUGGGGAAGUGAUUCCAUCGUGGUGUUCCUUUCAACUCCAACUGACCACUUCCCAUCCCUUUAGCUGUGAGGAAGAACCAAACGUUCCCUAGCUCAACAUUUUCAGAAGGGCAUGUUCCAGUCUCCUCCUAAAACAGACUCGAGAAACAGGCCAAGUAGCAGCCUUGGCUUAACCAGCAUAGGCUCACACAAGGACAGGAAAUUCAUCUGGGCUGCUGACAUUCUGAAUAGCUGCCACCUUCGAUGCCAGGAGAGGAGGUAAAAGUGAGUGCUUGUUAUUACUGAAGGGGAUCCAAGUGUUCAGCAGAGCUAGAAGAGCUUUCCCCUUCUUAGCAGGUCACUAUGAUAAUAUACAUUGUGGUGACUUGUGAAUGGCAAA